AAGGGCCAUCGCUUAACGGAUAAAAGGUACUCCGGGGAUAACAGGCUGAUACCGCCCAAGAGUUCAUAUCGACGGCGGUGUUUGGCACCUCGAUGUCGGCUCAUCACAUCCUGGGGCUGAAGUAGGUCCCAAGGGUAUGGCUGUUCGCCAUUUAAAGUGGUACGCGAGCUGGGKUUAGAACGUCGUGAGACAGUUCGGUCCCUAUCUGCCGUGGGCGCUGGAGAACUGAGGGGGGCUGCUCCUAGUACGAGAGGACCGGAGUGGACGCAUCACUGGUGUUCGGGUUGUCAUGCCAAUGGCACUGCCCGGUAGCUAAAUGCGGAAGAGAUAAGUGCUGAAAGCAUCUAAGCACGAAACUUGCCCCGAGAUGAGUUCUCCCUGAGACUUAGAGUCUCCUGAAGGAACGUUGAAGACGACGACGUUGAUAGGCCGGGUGUGUAAGCGCAGCGAUGCGUUGAGCUAACCGGUACUAAUGAACCGUGAGGCUUAACCUUACAACGCCGAAG
rnacentral:rRNA from 1 species